ensembl:lncRNA
CACCGGGAGCACCGGGAGCACCGGGCGGGCCAUGGAGCUCCCCAAGGGCAAAGCGGGAACGGCCGGGAAACUCCUGCUCUGCUCCCUGCUCGACUCCAAGGAUGAGCUGGAGGAGGUGAGAGCGGCACGGGAAAACACCGGGAUAAAACCGGGAUAACACCGGGAAAACACCGGGAAAACACCGGGAUAAAACACUGGGAUAAUACCGGGAUAGAACACCGGGAUAACACCGGGAUAGCACCGGGAUAACACCAGGAUAGAACACUGGGAUAACACCAGGAUAAAACACCGGGAAAACACCGGGAUAGAACACCAGGAUAGCACCGGGAUAAAACACCGGGAUAACACCGGGAUAGCACCGGGAUAAAAUACUGGGAUAGAACACCGGGAUAGCACACCAGGAUAGCACCGGGAUAGCACCAGGAUCCUCCCGGGAUCUGGGAAUGCUCCCGGGAGCGGCCCUUGCUGGGGAGAAUCCGGAAUGGCGCGCUGCUCCCAGCUGUUCCCAGCUGUUCCCAGCUGUUCCCAGCUGUUCCCAGCUGUUCCCAGCUGUUCCCAGCUGUUCCCAGCUGUUCCCAGCUUCCCCAGUUUCCGCAGUUCCCCCGGUCUCUCCCGGUUUUCCAGAGGCUGGAGCGCUGUGUGGGGAUCGUCACCUCGCUGACCAGCGGGCUCUCGGAGCGCGAGGCCAACGACGCCCUCAACGCCCACAUCUGCAAGGGGACCCCCCAGCACGAGGAGAUCUGCCUGGGGCUCUUCACGCUCGUCCUGACGGAGCCGGCCCAGGCGCAGAAGUGCUACCGGGACCUGGCGCUGGUGAGCCGGGACGGGAUGAACAUCGUCCUCAACAAGAUCAACCACAUCCUGAUGGAGAAGUACCUGAAGCUGCAGGACACCUGCAGGACCCAGCUGGUGUGGCUGCUCCGGGAGCUGGUGAAGAGCGGAGUGCUGGGAGCGGACGGGGUGUGCAUGACCUUCAUGAAGCAGAUCGCAGGUGGGGACGUGACUGCCAAGAACAUCUGGCUGGCAGAGAACGUUCUGGAGAUCCUGACGGAGCAGAGGGAGUGGGUGCUGAAGAGCAGCCUGCUGGUGGCCAUGGCCGUGUACACCUACCUGCGGCUGAUCGUGGAUCACCACGGCACGGCCGCGCUGCAGGCGCUGCGGCAGAAGGAGGUGGAGUUCUGCAUCUCCCUGCUCCGGGAGAGGGUGAGUGUGGGAAUGGGAUUGGGAAUGGGAUUGGGAUGGGAUUGGGAUUGGGAUCUGGAGUUCUGCAUCUCCCUGCUCCAGGGGAGGGUGAGUUCCUGGGAAUGAGAAUGGGAUUGGGAUGGGAUGGGAUUUGGAAUGGGAUUGGGGCUGGGAAUGGGAUCCUGUAUCUCCCUGCUCCAGGAUUGGGAUUGGGAUUGGGAUUGGGAAUGGGAAUGGGAUUGGGAUUGGGAUUGGGAUGGGAUUGGGAUGGGAUUGGGAUGGGAUCCUGCAUCUCCCUGCUCCAGGAUUGGGAUUGGGAUGGAAUCGGGAUGGGAUCCCGUUCCCCUGGGGAUCCCUCCCUGGGCAGGGCGGUUUGGGAUGAUCCCACAGCAGCAGCUCCAGGCCUGGUUUGGCUCCGGCUGGAGCAGGAGAACCCCCCAGAGCUGGGAUUUGUCCCGGAUUUCUCCCAGAUCCUGCCGUUGCCGACGCUGCCCCGGCGGGGCCUGGCUGCAGGCCUGGGGAGGGUGGCAGAUUUAUGGCCCGAUUGUUUGCUUUGCCAGGGAGAACAUUCCAGAACAACUCCCGACCUUCCCUCCAUCCAUUCCAGCAGGGAGGGGGUGGGAGGAGCGGGAAUUCCUCCUUUCCCUGCUCCCAUCCCCCUGCCCCGGGCACCGAGCGGGAUUUUUCCCUCUUUUUCCCCCAUUCCCAGUUCAUGGAUUGCUUCAUGA